rnacentral:rRNA from 1 species
UACGGGGGGGGCAAGCGUUGUUCGGAUUUACUGGGCGUAAAGGGCGCGUAGGCGGCCACCGCAAGUCGACUGUGAAAUCUCCGGGCUUAACCCGGAAAGGUCAGCCGAUACUGCGGGGCUAGAGUGCAGAAGGGGCAACUGGAAUUCUCGGUGUAGCGGUGAAAUGCGUAGAUAUCGAGAGGAACACCUGCGGCGAAGGCGGGUUGCUGGGCUGACACUGACGCUGAGGCGCGAAAGCGUGGGGAGCAAACAGG